CAUCACUGAUGAGCAGGACGCUCAUCGGGAUCAAGGAUGAUCGACCAUCGCCAGGAAGGCAGCUGACAGGAUGUCGGAAUGGUCUGAGAAAAACCCGCUUCGGCGGGUUUUUU
rnacentral:sRNA from 1 species